AUUGAACGCUGGCGGCGUGCUUAACACAUGCAAGUCGAGCGGUAACAGGUGUAGCAAUACAUGCUGACGAGCGGCGAACGGGUGAGUAAUGCUUCGGAAUCUUCCUCGUAGUGGGGAAUAACCUGGGGAAACUCAGGCUAAUACCGCAUACGAACUACGGUUGAAAGCAGGGGAUCGCAAGACCUUGCGCUAUGAGAUGAGCCGAAGUCGGAUUAGCUAGUUGGUGAGGUAAAGGCUCACCAAGGCGACGAUCCGUAGCUGGUCUGAGAGGACGACCAGCCACACUGGGACUGAGACACGGCCCAGACUCCUACGGGAGGCAGCAGUGGGGAAUAUUGGACAAUGGGGGCAACCCUGAUCCAGCGACGCCGCGUGUGUGAAGAAGGCCUGCGGGUUGUAAAGCCCUUUCGGCGGGGACGAUGAUGACGGUACCCGCAGAAGAAGCCCCGGCUAACUUCGUGCCAGCAGCCGCGGUAAU
rnacentral:rRNA from 1 species